AUAUCAUAUAGUUGGCGGCGCUGAGUAACUGCAUUGAAGGAGCCACAAUCGCUUGUUUCUUUGUUACGAUUGCUAUAUAUUUAUAUUUCUGAAUUGAAAGGUAUAAUCUCUUUGUCUAUCAUUGCAAUAGAGUCCAGCUCGAAAUAUGGCCAAAACUAAGACGAUUAGCAAAGGAUGUCCCAAGUGCGAACAACAGGUACCUGUUGCCUGUAAAGCUUGUCCCUGUGGACAUUCCUUCUUCAAUGCACGGCGCAAUUCCAUCAAAAGUCCACCAAGUCCUGAUGGUGGAGUGAUGAAGACAAGGAGAACUAAUCGUAUUAAACGCGAGAAACCAAAUUAUUACGAUGCUUUGGAAUAUGACAAACAGACAAAAAAAAAUACCAAAAUCAGACGGACUAUAGAUACUGCAAAUGAUAUUGAUUGUCGGCAGUUGAACAAAAAGAAGAAGCGGAAAGGAAAGGGAAAGGGCAAAAGUGGCAGUAAUAGUGGAGUAGGUGAUGAUGAUGAUGAAAUGGAUGGGAUCAAUGGUUUAUCUCCAGAGAAACAACUCACUUGUUCUCUCAUAUUGCAAGAACUGAACAACAAAAUGAGAGUGGUAGCUUGGAAGCCUACAUGAAAUUAAAAUUAGAUACAGAUACAUGCGUAUCUCUUUGACAAAUCUGACAUCAGUUCAACACGAUUGCUUUACUACGUACAGUGGCGUAGUGAGGCGCAAAUAAAACAAAGCUGAAAAGUACCAGUGAGUGGUGGAAUGGAAAUCGCACCGAAGCUCUGGAACAUCCUCACCAGACCGUAGCUGGACGAUAUUUUGUCGGUGCCAUAUUGAUCGGCGAGCAGGACGGGAACUAGGAGAAACCAACAACCUAGGCAUAGUCCAUACAUUCCGACGGAA
rnacentral:misc_RNA from 1 species